AUAACUACGCGAAAGCGUGGCUAAUACCGCAUACGCCCUACGGGGGAAAGGGGGGGAUCGCAAGACCUCUCACUAUUGGAGCGGCCGAUAUCGGAUUAGCUAGUUGGUGGGGUAAAGGCCUACCAAGGCGACGAUCCGUAGCUGGUUUGAGAGGACGACCAGCCACACUGGGACUGAGACACGGCCCAGACUCCUACGGGAGGCAGCAGUGGGGAAUUUUGGACAAUGGGGGCAACCCUGAUCCAGCCAUCCCGCGUGUGCGAUGAAGGCCUUCGGGUUGUAAAGCACUUUUGGCAGGGAAGAAAUAGGUCUGGCUAAUAUCUGGACUGAAUGACGGUACCUGCAGAAUAAGCACCGGCUAACUACGUGCCAGCAGCCGCGGUAAUACGUAGGGUGCAAGCGUUAAUCGGAAUUACUGGGCGUAAAGCGUGCGCAGGCGGUUCGGAAAGAAGGAUGUGAAAUCCCAGGGCUUAACCUUGGAAUGGCAUUCUUAACUACCGGGCUAGAGUA
rnacentral:rRNA from 1 species